rnacentral:lncRNA from 1 species
AAAGCAUGUUUGAAAAAGCGGGUGGCAAAAAUUUUCCCCUAUCACACCUUCACCGUGGUAUCCAUACUUAAAAAGAACUUUUUAACCGUUCUGACUGCAAGCCAUACUCACAUGCUCCAGUCAACACAGAAUUUCUUUGGACGCAAGCUCUCUGGGUCUCUAGAACUCCUCACUUGCCUCAAGUUUAACCCGAGUGUCAUCACACACGACCCACCCUCUCAGCGCAUCUCUGGCCCAAGCCCACUGGGGUUGUACAGUUGACCCUUGCACAACACAGGGGGUAUGGGUGCUGACCUUCCCAGCAAUGGAAAAUCCACGUGUAAUUUAUAGUUGGCCAUCUGUCUCUUUAGUUCCAAUCACACUCAGAUUGUGUAGCAUGUAGUAUUCACCGCUGGGGGAAAAAAAAAAUCCCAAAGCAGAUGUGCAGAGUUCAAAGCCAUGUUGCUCAGGGUCAAGUGUAUAAGAAGAAACAUUUGUGGAAAACAUCCGUUUUAGACCAUCGAGAACCUUUGGUGGCCCAUUCGUGCAUCUGUACAGAUCAUCAUUAGACAACCGGCUUUCCAGCUCCAUCAGAACCAGCCCCUAUCUCUGAUACCUACAUCUCUCCUUUCGAGCCUGAUGGUAAAAUGUCCCUUUUCGGUGGGGAAAAAUCCCUUACAGACUCGGGCUGUCAUCUCACUACAGAGUUCCCUGGUCAAGAAAGAACAAACUGAUGAAAUAUCUGGGCUGCCUGGAGCACUUUCUGUCAUUUUUAUUAUCUCUCCCAUCAUCACCUUCAACUCCCAUAUUAUAGGUAUUUGUUCAUGUGCCUCUGCUCUUAUACCAGGAGGUCCAUGAGGCCAGGUCUGUACCUUAAUUGUUCUAAUUUAUGUGUAUUUCCAGGUCCUGGCAUGGACUUGGGAUAUGACCCAUGUCCAUAAGUAUAUAAGGGAAAUCAGACAUUUGGGUGACUGUAUUAUUUCUAGCAAGUUACUAGGGUGUCAUUACACAUUUUCACCAUUCAUCUGUUCAUGUAUCCAUCCAUCCAUCCAUCCAUCCAUCCAUCCAUCCAUCCACCCACCCAUCCAUCCAAUCAUCCAACCAUCCACGUAUCCAUCCAUCUAUUCAGCCAGCCAGCCAGCCAGCCAUCCAUUCAUUUAAAAAAUGUGCAAUAAUGCCUACUCUGCCAUGCCUUUUUAUGGGUGAUAAAAAAAGAUGACUAGAAAAUGAAUACAAUAUGGUCCUUGCCUUGACAUAUGUUGCAGCUGAAUAGGAGAAAUAAUGUAUGAAAAGUGAGGCCCCUGUUUUGGCCAUCUUUUCGUCCCCUGCAGCAUCUUCCACAGGGACUUUAAUUCAGCAGCAAUCAGCAAAUGAAUGUCGACUUAACAAAUAAAAACAAAUACAAUAUAAGGCAGUAAGUGAAUAGUGUCAGGUAAAUGCCGCAGAGAAAAUGCUACAGAGGAGUGCAAGGGAGGCUGAUCACGUCCAGCUGGACCCCUCACAGAAGCGGGAAUCUGAGCUACGAUAGAAGGGCUGGCUCAGCUUUGAAAGAGGGUAAUGAAAGCAAGGCAUUCUAGAAGUCUUUGCAUUAAUACACCGAGUCUCUACUGUCACUGCCUAGUGUGAUGCCUGGCAGAGAAAGGGAUUCCAAGAAGGGUUUGUGUUUUUAUGUGAGGUACCUGCUAGAACGAGGUGGGCAUGUGGCAAAAGUGAAGAGGAUAUAUUCUCUGCCCUCGAUGAGUCUUGGGACAAUAAUCUCUGGAGAAAACCCAGGCAAACUGGGGCCGGGGUUGGAGAGAGGGCAGUAUGUACCAGAAAAGAGCAAUUUCAACUGCGCAGAGUAUAGCACAGGUCCUAAAGGGAUGGCUGAUGAAUAGGUUUCUAAUUUGACUAGGUUGGAAUCUUGUGUUGACAAUUAGCAGCAUCUAUUUGCAUACAAUUAGUAGGCAGAGCCCUUCAAAAGAGUUUGUUCCCUAAAGUAGGUUAACUAUAUCCCCUUGCAAUGGCGCCUGCAGGAUUGAUUUGUUUCACAAAUCCAUGAUCCCAGAGAAACUGAGGAUGGACCUCGGCCCAGUCUAGGUCCAAAGGACAACACUUGGAUUCUAUUGGGCUUGUGUGAUCAGAACGAGAGCUGAACAUCCCAAAGGCCCUCACUGAGGAGUUCUGAAUUGAAGUGAAUGGUCAACUCAGUUGGUAUUUGGUCAGUUUCACCUCCACCAACACUACCACCAUCAACAGCAACUCCCGGGCCAGCGGGGAGUCUCCGAGAAAACAAAACAUCAGGGAACUGAGUCAUCUGUCAUGAGAAUCACGUGUCUUUGCUGGCCACGCAUCCCAGGAUGCAGGGUUCAGGUUACCCUUGGGUUGCUGGCUCCUCCUGCAAUUCCAGAAUUAUUCCAGAAGCCCAAGCAAGUACCUCCGAAGCACUGCCUUAUUCACUCGCUCGCUCACUCAUGCAAUUAAUGUUUAUUGACUGCUGAGCUGUCUGUUUGGGAAUGAGGGAUACAUUGGUGCCCAAAUGUUUGUUUGCAACCAAAACAAACACACAGCCUAUGGAGCUCAUUGUCUGCGGGGGAAAAUAGCAAUUGAAAAAUAAACACAGAAAUAAAUGUCAAAUCACAGCUCAGUGCAUUGCUAUUGAGAGGAAGUGUGUAGAAUUCUAUGAACUUACAGGAGGAUUGAACACAAUCAGGGAAGGCUUCCUGGAGGGAGUGAUGAUUAAGUUAAAAUACAAAGAAUAAGUAGAGGCAAAGAAGGGGAGGUAUCAGCAUGAGUGAAAAGACCCCAUGAAAGGAGGCAGCAGGGAAAGUUCCAGAAACUGUGAGAAAGCCCAUCUGGUAAGAAGGCAGAGAUUUAAGGUGAGAGGCAGUGGAAAUGAGACUAGAGAGGUCUCAUCUAGGUGGGAGCUGGGCCACUAGAUGGGGGGAUUGGGGUAUUUCAGGGGUCUAUCUAUAUCUCAAAAGCAAUAAAAAAUCUUGGGUGUGGUUUAACUGGGGAGUGGGAGGACUAGAAAAGGAACAUUCAGAUUUGAGUUUUAAGAAGAUCACUUUGGUUGGGUUUGAAAAAUGGUAUAGAGGGAGAACCACUCUCUGCCAGCUUCAGCUAUCCCCUUCCUGGGCAAGAUCACUGCUGCCUGCCCUUGGCCUGCCAGGGCCUGGAACGGCUCUUUGUCCUGCUCAGGCCUGUCCUGCCAUCUACACUCCUGGCUGGCUCCAUAAACGACUAUCUCAAUACCCCUUUCUCUUCUUCUUUCCAUGGCCCAGGGCUCCCACCCCCAGUUUCUAGGUACAAAGGACAAUCAUUUUCCAAAUAGAACGAUCUCCAGGUCCACUGGGGAUGAUUCUAGAGCAAGACCAACAUCAAGUCAGACCGUCACCACCUCCUGGAAAGGGUACUGCUGUAAUGGAAGUCUGCUGCUUUUGUCUUUUUAAUAUCCAUCCUUUGCCCAGCAAUAACAUGCCUUCUUUACUCCACCCUUCUCCAUCUAUACAGCUCCGGUCAGACCAAUCCCAUCAUGCUGGUCCAGACAGGUUGCAGUGAUUGGCUGAGAAAUUUACAUAUGACCAACUAAGGGCCAAUGAGAAUCAGACAUGGGAUUCCCUGAAGCUCGUGGGAAGGAGAUGCUCUUUCCCUCCAGCUCCGUGAGCGUGAAGGAUGUAGACUCGUGGUGGCCAUCUCUGCCCAAGUGGACUGACCCUGUCUGACAAUGAAGAUGACUCAGAGGAAAGCACUGCUGAACAAUGGAGUGAAAGAGAAUGACGGCAAUGCCAUCUAUAUCACCCGUGCCAGCUCUAUCCCUCCCUCGGCUUCCCAGUUCCGGGAGCCAACAAAUUCCUUUUAUUUUAUUUUACUUUAUUUCUUGGCCUAAACUGGUUUGGGUGGGUUUGCUGUCACUCGCAAUUGAAAAUAAAACAUUUCUGUCU